GAUGAACGCUGGCGGCGUGCCUAAUACAUGCAAGUCGAGCGAAUGGAUUAAGAGCUUGCUCUUAUGAAGUUAGCGGCGGACGGGUGAGUAACACGUGGGUAACCUGCCCAUAAGACUGGGAUAACUCCGGGAAACCGGGGCUAAUACCGGAUAACAUUUUGAACCGCAUGGUUCGAAAUUGAAAGGCGGCUUCGGCUGUCACUUAUGGAUGGACCCGCGUCGCAUUAGCUAGUUGGUGAGGUAACGGCUCACCAAGGGAACGAUGCGUAGCCGACCUGAGAGGGUGAUCGGCCACACUGGGACUGAGACACGGCCCAGACUCCUACGGGAGGCAGCAGUAGGGAAUCUUCCGCAAUGGACGAAAGUCUGACGGAGCAACGCCGCGUGAGUGAGGAAGGCUUUCGGGUCGUAAAACUCUGUUGUUAGGGAAGAACAAGUGCUAGUUGAAUAAGCUGGCACCUUGACGGUACCUAACCAGAAAGCCACGGCUAACUGCGUGCCAGCCGCCGCUGUAA
rnacentral:rRNA from 1 species